rnacentral:rRNA from 1 species
GAUGAACGCUAGCGGCAGGCCUAACACAUGCAAGUCGAGGGAGAGGUUACCUUCGGGUAACCAAAACCGGCGCACGGGUGCGUAACGCGUAUACAAUCUGCCUUUCACAUAGGGAUAGCCCGAAGAAAUUUGGAUUAAUACCUAAUGGUAUAUAAGAGCGGCAUCGUUUUUAUAUUAAAGCUACGGUGGUGAAAGAUGAGUAUGCGUUCUAUUAGCUAGUUGGAGAGGUAACGGCUCCCCAAGGCGACGAUAGAUAGGGGUUCUGAGAGGGAUGUCCCCCACACUGGUACUGAGAUACGGACCAGACGCCUACGGGAGGCAGCAGUGAGGAAUAUUGGACAAUGGUCGGAAGACUGAUCCAGCCAUGCCGCGUGCAGGAUGAAGGUCCUAUGGAUUGUAAACUGCUUUUGGAAGGGAAGAAUAAGGAGUACGUGUACUUUGAUGACGGUACCUUACGAAUAAGCAUCGGCUAACUCCGUG